rnacentral:rRNA from 1 species
UGAUAAUGCUGGGAAGUGAUGGGGAGCGAAAUUUAGUAGCGAAGUAGCUGAUUUCACACUGUCAAGAAAAGUCUCUAUCGAGGUUAAAGGUACCCGUACCGCAAACCGACACAGGUGGGUGAGGAGAGUAUCCUAAGGCCCGCGAGAGAACUGUUGUUAAGGAACUCGGCAAAAUGACCCCGUAACGUAGGGAUAAGGGGUGCCACCAUCCGGUGGCCGCAGAGAAUAGGCCCAAGCGACUGUUUACCAAAAACAUAGGUUUCUGCUAAGUCGCAAGACGAUGUAUAGGAGCUGACGCCUGCCCGGUGCUGGAAGGUUAAGGGGAUCUGUUAGAGC